rnacentral:lncRNA from 1 species
AUGCCCGGAAGCCAUCUUCAAGGUCCUCCUCCGAACCUUGGCGAGGACCCCUGCGCUCGCCGCGCCGUUGACCCCGCUAGCGUGCGGCUGCGACCCGGCACGGCACGGCAGCUAUUGGCGGAGGCCCCCGACUCCGAGCAUGUGUCCGCAGACCGCGAGCCGAGAGGCGGCCUGGGUGGCUGUUGGGUUCGUGGCGCUCCCGAAGCGUGGCAAAGGCCUAAAAACGGUCUCGGCCAGCGGAAGGCGGCAAGAGGAGAGGAGCAAGGCUCCACGCGAGGCGGCCGGCGGCUGGAGUCCCAGUCAGUCUCCGCUUUGAUCCCAGAGCAGUCCACGGGAGCUUUAAAGGAAUAUUUCCAGGAAAAUCAACCUUUAAAAGGAGUGAAAUUCUAACAUUUGCUGCCACAUGGAUGAAUCUUGACAUUAUGCUGAGUGAUAUAAUCAGUCACAGAAGGACAAAUAUUGCAUGAUUCAGUUUAUAUGAGGUACCUAGAGUGGUCAAAUUCAUAGAGACAAAGUAGAAUGGUGGUUACUACGGGCUGGGAGAAGGAGGGAAUUGAGAGUUGUUUAAUGGGUGAUGGAAAAGUUUUGUAGAUAGGAUGGUUGCGCUGAAUGCCACUGAACUUAAAAAUUGUUAAAAUGGCUUUAUGUAUAUUUACCACAGUUUCAAAAGUUUAAAGGAAAAUUUAAAAGCUAUUAAAUUAUGUAUACGGCAUUCCUGGAACCAGGGUUUUUACCUCCCCUGCUGGUUAACCCAUUUAUCAACUUGAACUCCUCAGGUCCAGUUCCCUCUCCACAUUUGCCUAUUUCAUCAUUCUCCGGGCCUCCUACUCUUAUUAGAAUCUGAAAAAUCAUCCUUGGCUCUAUCCACUUCUGUCCUUCCCACACUUGGACAAUCACCAAAUUUUGACCUCUUCAAGCUGUCGUCUACCAUCUGUUCCUUCCCACAGCUAAUAGCUUAGCCUUUGUCGUCUCAUUUUGUCAUUAUAACUCAUCUUUCCUUCAUACACCAGGUAAGUCCUACUGAGUUACAGACCGUGUAACAUCUUUUUAGAGUGGAUUUUAAGUCAAAUAGGCCAUAAAUCCUGAUUUUACUAUUCCUGCAUAACCUUUGGAAGUUGACAUCCUCUCUGAGUGGUAGGGGUUUUUUUAAAGUUGAAAAAUGAGAGUUAAAUGAUUACUUAUUUGGUAAAUGUGUAUAGAGUAUUUAUUAUGGAUCAAGUACUGGUUUGAAUUAAAAAGAUAGAUAAAGAUGCUUUCAUAGCUUUUACAGUCCAGCGGGUGGAGGUGUCUGGCACACAAUAGGUAAUCAGGAGUUAUCCUGGACUGAGUGAGGUGGCAUAUGACUGUAAUCCCAGCAGUUUGGGAGGCUGAGGCAGGAGGAUGGCUUGAGGCUAGGAGUUCAAGACCAGCCUGGGCAACAUAAUGAGACCUGUCUCUACAAAGAAAAAAUAAAACAUUAUCUGGCUGUGCUGGCA